rnacentral:rRNA from 1 species
CCUACGGGUGGCAGCAGUGGGGAAUAUUGGACAAUGGGGGCAACCCUGAUCCAGCCAUGCCGCGUGUGUGAAGAAGGCCCUCGGGUUGUAAAGCACUUUCAGUGAGGAAGAACGCCUGGUGGUUAAUACCCAUCAGGAAAGACAUCACUCACAGAAGAAGCACCGGCUAACUCCGUGCCAGCAGCCGCGGUAAUACGGAGGGUGCGAGCGUUAAUCGGAAUUACUGGGCGUAAAGCGCGCGUAGGUGGCUUGAUAAGCCGGUUGUGAAAGCCCCGGGCUCAACCUGGGAACGGCAUCCGGAACUGUCAAGCUAGAGUGCAGGAGAGGAAGGUAGAAUUCCCGGUGGAGCGGUGAAAUGCGUAGAGAUCGGGAGGAAUACCAGUGGCGAAGGCGGCCUUCUGGACUGACACUGACACUGAGGUGCGAAAGCGUGGGUAGCAAACAGGAUUAGAUACCCCAGUAGUC